rnacentral:other from 1 species
AGCUCUCUAGGAUAUUGGCUAAUCAAUAUUGUCCCUGAGCCGAUAACUACACCCCGGAGACUUGCCUAAUGGCAUUGUUGUGCACGUCCGCUAGACGGAAAGCCUGAUAUGCCGGACGAGUCACCACCUGAACUCUUGGGUUCAGGACUCCGUUGGUAGCGGUAUUCCGGAGAGUCU